GGGCCCGCACAAGCGGUGGAGUAUGUGGUUUAAUUCGAUGCAACGCGAAGAACCUUACCAGGGUUUGACAUCCUGCGAAUCUCUUGGAAACUUGAGAGUGCCUUCGGGAGCGCAGUGACAGGUGGUGCAUGGCUGUCGUCAGCUCGUGUCGUGAGAUGUUGGGUUAAGUCCCGCAACGAGCGCAACCCACGUCUUUAGUUGCCAGCAUUUAGUUGGGCACUCUAGAGAGACCGCCGGUGAUAAACCGGAGGAAGGUGUGGAUGACGUCAAGUCAUCAUGCCCCUUACAUCCUGGGCUACACACGUACUACAAUGGUAGUGACAAUGGGUUAAUCCCAAAAAGCUAUCUCAGU
rnacentral:rRNA from 1 species